CGGAGACGGAGCGCUAGGCUGGAAGUUUCGAAUGCAACGACCAGCAGAUGACCUUGAGCGACUCUGAGCCUUUGCCUGGAGGUGGUGGCAACCGCCAGAGGUGUGUGCAUUUCCUGUAAGGAUCGGUCCUUUCAGUGGGGAAUUGUGAGAAUGACAUUCGACGAUGAGCUGGGAAACAGGAACCCCAAACCCGUGUGCUUCCUGCGCCGAGCCGUGUGCCUCCGCCUGGUGUGCGCCGUGGGUUCGUCCUUCGCUCCAGACUGCGUUCAAUGCAACAGAUACGGGUGGCACAAGCAUGUGGCCCCACCAUCAUCUCUCCCCUUUGCAUGAUAAAGAGACCGACCAGCAAUGCAGGGGCCGUGGGGAAGAUCCCACACAGCCCCUACACGUCACAGAUAAAAGUCCUUAGAGACAGAAAGGGGAGCAGAACCAGGAUUCAAACCCCAGUCUCCAAAGCAAAGCCCUGAGUUCAUUUCAUUACAGCAAAGAUGCACUGUGCAUUCCA
rnacentral:lncRNA from 1 species